rnacentral:rRNA from 1 species
GUUGUUCGGAAUUACUGGGCGUAAAGGGCGCGUAGGCGGCCUUCUAAGUCGAACGUGAAAUCCCCGGGCUCAACCCGGGAACUGCGUCCGAUACUGGGAGGCUUGAAUCCGGGAGAGGGAUGUGGAAUUCCAGGUGUAGCGGUGAAAUGCGUAGAUAUCUGGAGGAACACCGGUGGCGAAGGCGGCAUCCUGGACCGGUAUUGACGCUGAGGCGCGAAAGCCAGGGGAGCAAACGGG